GGUACUGUGGGACUGUGUGAUUCAAAAUUCAUUUAUUCCCCUUGCCUCUGUUCUAUUUAGAGUUAGUGGUCAGAAAUGUGCUUGCUAAGCAGAUAAAAUCUGUAACUAAGAGUUCUUAGUUAAAUCAUCCACCCUCUUGUUUGCCCGGAACUUGGAAAAUUCCCGGACUCACUAUCAGUAGAACAACCGUCACCAGACGUGCUGACUAUCAGUACGUGACGGCCGUGACCCUGUGGUCACAAGGUCUUACUGUGUGCCUGCUGACCAUCAGCAUGUAAUAAUGAGUCACAAACCUUUGUUCCCGUUCCUGCCUGUUAACCCCCCCUUCAGUCUCCUAUAAAAAUAGCUUUGGAUUCUGUGCCUGCUGCCUCUCUCAGCUACCUUGCUUUGGGAGUGCCGUCUGGCCAGACUAAUAAAGGUCUGUUUUUUUCUUCCCACUUGUCCGGUGUGUUCCUCCCCGGGUGAUUGCCGCUGUAGCCAGCUCCUCGGAGCGUUUGGUAAGGCCCACGGUCUUACAUUUUGGAGGCCCCAGCGAGAUUCCCGGGUAAGGAACCCCAGUUCGGCCGGGACUCUGUGGCGGGAUCCAGCAGGAGACUCGGGCACAGACCUUAAAACCUCCGGAGGAGGACGAAUAUAAGAUUAAAUUUUCUCGUGGAAAACUUCGCUCCCUAUGCCAAUUGGAGUGGCCGGCCUUUGAAGUAGGAUGGCCAGCAGAGGGCUCUUUUGAUCUAAGUCUCUGCCGAGCGGUUUGAUUCCAAAACCCUGGAAGCCCGUUGGAAGGGACCGGUUCCUGUUGUCCUGUCAACUCCCUUGGCGAUGAAAAUGGCUGGACAUUCUGCCUGGAUACAUCGUAACCAUCUAAAGCCAGGACCCCCCACGGACAUCAAAAAGGAUAAAUGGAAAAUAACCAGCCAACCGGGCGACCCAAAGCUAAGAUUGGAGCGAAUUGGAAACGUUUCGCCCUCAUGAUGAUAUUUACCAGGAUAUUGACAGUGUUACCCUCAGGGGAGUUAGAUCACACAAAAAAUAUAUGGAUUCAAUUGGCAAACUCACUUAAUCUAUCUGAAUUCUGUUUAAGUGUUGAUGUAAAUUUUCAUUAUGUAUUAGGAAAUUGUCUUAUCCCGGUAUGCACCCCUUUAGAGUCAAUACGGCCUUAUACUUUAUUUAAAGAUAUUCCAGGAAAGAACCUUACUUAUGUAGAUAGUUAUAAUUGGGGACCUGUCACAUGUUAUAAGCCUAAAAAUGCUGUCAAAUUAUAUACAUCUAAAGUGAUCAUGUCAAAUAAGACUAAAUGUGCUGUGUAUGAAAAUUGUACAACUAAAUGUUUGAAGAUCAAACGGUUAAAAGAAAUGGCCUGCCGAAUAGAACAAAAGAUUGUAUAUGGCAACUGCCAUGUUUCCCUGCCAAUGGGAUGGUUUUAUACCUGUGAAGGAGAAACUUUCAACUACAUUCCAGCCAAUUUGACCAAAACCCGUUGCUGUUUAAAUCGAUUAACUAUAGUAUUACCAGAUAGAACUGAUUUGAUUGUGCCUAACAGAGUUAAACGGUGGUCACCUUAUACUGCACCAGGAUGCGAUGAUGAUGUGGGUCUGCUAACAGAUGCAGAAGUACUAACCAUGAUAGGAUCUCUGGUUGCCAUGCCGUCUAUAGGAGUACAUGCUGAAAAAGCAGUACGAAAAUUAGCUUGUAAAGUAGUAAAAGGAUUAAAUGCCACUUCAUCAGCCUUGGCGCUGAUCAACCAAGAAUUACAAGAACAAAGGCAGGCAAUCUUAGACAAUAGAGCAACAAUAGAUUACCUGUUGCUCUUCCACCACCAAGGUUGUGAAAAGAUAAAAAACAUGUGUUGUUUCAAUUUGACCAAUAAUAAAAAAAAAAAAAAAAUCAAAGAGGAGAUAGAACAAUUAGAGGACCUGGCAAAUAAAGUACACAACAAAGAUGGUGGAGACCUGUUUAAAUGAUUAACCUCAUGGCUGCCCAACCUACAAUGGUUAAAACAAUUAUUCCUUGUCUUUAUAGUCAUAUGUAUUUGCUUAUUAGUAUCAUGCUGUUGUAUACAGUGGAUGCCUAUGUUUAUGCGUAAGAUUACUUAGGUUAUAGAAAAUCAGUGGGGAAUGUGGGACUGUGUGAUUCAAAAUUCAUUUAUUCCCCUUGCCUCUGUUCUGUUUAGAGUUAGUGGUCAGAAAUGUGCUUGCUAAGCAGAUAAAAUCUGUAACUAAGAGUUCUUAGUUAAAUCAUCCACCCUCUUGUUUGCCCGGAACUUGGAAAAUUCCCGGACUCACUAUCAGUAGAACAACCGUCACCAGACGUGCUGACUAUCAGUACGUGACGGCCGUGACCCUGUGGUCACAAGGUCUUACUGUGUGCCUGCUGACCAUCAGCAUGUAAUAAUGAGUCACAAACCUUUGUUCCCGUUCCUGCCUGUUAACCCCCCCUUCAGUCUCCUAUAAAAAUAGCUUUGGAUUCUGUGCCUGCUGCCUCUCUCAGCUACCUUGCUUUGGGAGUGCCGUCUGGCCAGACUAAUAAAGGUCUGUUUUUUUCUUCCCACUGUCCGGUGUGUUCCUCCCCGGGUGAUUGCCGCUGUAGCCAGCUCCUCGGAGCGUUUGGUAAGGCCCACGGUCUUACAGUACCAAAUGUACCUUAGGUAGCUGAGAGAAGAACUCCUCCUUUCAGUAUGGAAUGUGUUAGGAACCAUGGAGGGAGGGAAGAAAGGUGGACAGCAGUGAAAUACCUGGGCCCAACAGGGGGAGCUAUAAAAUAGAAACAGAAGAUUAGAAAAAGGGAGGAACGAAAUUGUCCUCAACAUUCAGUUAAUAUUAUGCCAACUUUUCUCUCCCCGCUGGAAGAAUUAUUGAACCAAUCUGCUGGUUCUUUGGCUUUGGUCCUUAAAGAACACGUUUCUCUCACUUUAGCCACCAGGGGACAGUAAAGAGUGCUUGGAGGUGCAGGGCUGACCUGUUUUGGCCUAGUUUACAGAUCUAAUAAAGGUCAUAGAAAUUGAGAUUGUUGUUCUGUUAAAAAAUAAAAGAGAGAGACAUUGGAGGCUGGUGACAUAAGCACUCGUGUCACUGUCCUUUAUCUUCACGGAGCACAGGAAACACCAGGCCCUCACAGAAUGAGGCAUUUUCAGCCUUCAUGUUUGCCUCCGCUCCUUUGCUCCCUGAGAAGCAGUUUUCAGGGAAAGAGAAAGCCUGUCAUUCCGGAGGUACAGAAGUCUCGUUUAAAAUGAAAUAUAGAUGCCCAUUCUUUCCAAGUUCCUGAGACUUUAAAUGUAAAAGAACUCUGGUCUCAAAGAAAUCUAAAUUAAAGAGAAAUAAUGCUAUGACAAAAAGGAAAAGUUUUAUGUCUCAAAAGACUAGGGCUGACACCCCACCACUUGUGACUUAGGGCACUGGCACUGAGCCCUGAGGACGGGGAGGAGCUGGGGCUUGGAAUUGAGGGGGGAAAGGGCUUUCUACGGGCCCGCUGCCCUGACACAUGGCUGCCUGUGAUCCCACUGACCCCUGCAUGGUCAGCAGCUCCCUCCUGCGCCUUCUCCUGGCCCUCAGCGGGGUUCUCUGCCUCCCCUGCACAUCUCUGCUUUGGUUCAUCUCCAUAUUCGUGUAGAGAGUUAGAUUUUGGAACUCAAGAGAAGGACAAUGAGAGCAGAUGAUUCUCUUAAAAUCUGGACAGUGUUGAGAGCAAAAGUGAUCACCAACUACAAAGUUCAUCAAAAGGAUUGUAGAUUUGGAUAUUAAGAAAGCUUAAAAUGAAGACGAUAACUUUCCCUCUGAAGAUGUGAUCAUUCUGAAAAUGUGGUCAUUUUUAUUCACUUCUAUGACAAUUUCCUUUUGAUUCUAUUACAUUUGAUUCUAUUUGUUACAUAUGCAGAAAAUAGAAAGACACAGAAAAUGUGAAUGAAUGGCUUUUUCAGAGUUAAAUGACAACCACCUGCUUUUUAAUGAUCCAUGAUCUUUUGAUGGUCUAAGUAAUCUAAGCCAACACUGAUGAUUUCAUUAUAUGCUAUUGCAACACAGUAUCAUUUCAGUAUGAAAAUAUCGGUUCCCUAUGUACUCUUUAAUCAGGACCCAUCUCAAGAAGAUAGACAGCUACUAGAUACUCAUGUUUACAAAUUCUACAUUAGACUUCCUGAUUUGCAAAGUAUUCUUGUCUAUUGGGUCACUAAGGCAGGUUUACCUAAUCAUUUUGUGCCAUUCCAAGAUUAGUGAAUCCCCAAAAUUUGUCUAGCCACACUGUUUUCCACACUGCACAUGCUUUGCAUAAUGUGUGUUCUCAAUUAAAACCAAGUUGAAUUUAAUUCUAUUUCUAUUUAUUGGACAGAUGUAUAAUCCACGUGGAAAAGACAGCUUAAACUCUCCUCUUUAAACUAAAAUAAUACCAUGCCUUUUCAGUUCUUACUAUUUUUUUGAAUUUUUCCCAAAGGCCAUGGAUGUACUGAGAAUGAAAUAUAUAUAAGGUCAGAUUUUCAUGGAGUCAUAGAAGAACAGAACCAGCAAAUACAUCUCCAGAGUCAGAGGCACCCAGGGGCCCCAAGGGCACGGGUGGCAAUGGGAAACCCACUGAGGCCAAUACUAAAAAGCUGAGCACUGAAACUACCAAGUUCAUGCUCCAGACCCCUCAUUACAAAGGGGCCUUUUGAAGGCCUAAGGGGACCCUGGCAUUGUUCUCAGUCAUAAAUAUUUGCAAAAUUUGCAAAAGAAGGUUGCUUAACCAUAAUUAGUUAAAUGAUCAGUGAGUGUCCCCUUCACCACUCCCUUCCCUUUCUGCUAGGUGGCAUUAGACUCUCCACAGGCAUUUGGGAGCUCCAGAUAUAGGAAGGAUGAAUUGAGAAAAGAUUUAUUUUGCAUUUAUUGGACACAUGGGCGCAGUUUAUUGUUCCUUUUGUGUAUAGUGAAGUUAUUGCUAGUGAUCCCAACCCAGGAGCAACUUCCAGGAGUACUGCCAUCUCUUCCUUGUAAUGUCCAGUACAAGGUGAAAGCCCCACUGUACGGUAAGUGUGACCCCCUGAUGCCCCAUAUGGGAAGUAUGUGGGAGAGAGGAGUUUUAAAAGAGUUAGCUUCCCAGCAACCAGCCUACAGACAGUGAGGACCUCGGCUGCAGGGAGCCCAGCUCUGUCCCAGCGCCCCAUUCCACAGCAACCAGCUUAGCCGCCUGAGCCUGCAGGGCCCUACCCCAACUACCCCCAACCCCACCCCCAGCCCUCAACACCCUGGCCUCUGGCCUCCUGGCUGUGCCACUACCUGG
ensembl:lncRNA